AAAACCCAUAUACGGGGUGGUCAUACACUUUUUAUCAAAACAAAGAAAUACAGCCUCUCCUUCUUACGACACGGGUUCAAGUAAGUAGGUCAACCAAUAGCAAGCGAAAUGGGGAAGGACCUUCCGCGUUACAACCCGAGCGUUCCGUUAUACACCGAAUACAACAUCAGUAAAGAUCACCGAGUCUAACACCUGACUCCAGACAGUACCAAUCAAAAUUCAAACCACAUUCUGGAGACUGUUGUCCAAAUGUUUAUUGAAUUCUGGCAGAAAUCUUUUCCUAAAAUCCAACUGUUCCCUUGGGUCUUAUGGGGGUCAUCCCUGCGGGGAAGCAACAGCCAUGUAGAUGUCUAUCCCCCCAUCACUUGACCACUAUGUACCUCAGUGAAUGUGUUUGGCAUCUAACAUCGGGUAAAUAGGAAAGGGAGGUAUUUCUGUUUCCUGUGCACUGACUAUUUGCAAACAGUGUGCCAAGUAAUUGCGCAGACUGUUGAGGAACUAGGGAAAACUAAGCCAGUUGUGUUGAUCUUUCUGUUGGUGGGAUGCUGUGCUUAUGUUACCAUGGUACUGGGAGGUCCCAACACAUUUCCUUUUCCUGGGCACUUCCAGUGUUUUGCUUUCAUGUCUCAUAUAGAUGCAGCAGAUAAUACUGACUCUCAUCUGCCCACUGGACAAAUGGGGGCAGGUUUUCUCUCUCAGCUGCUUCAGUGCCUUUUCUCCCUUUGGCUCUUGCAGUUUCUGAGAAGGUCACUGUGCAGACCACAUCUUUAGAGGACUGCUUGUCAGUUUUUUGGGUUAGAUUAAUUGCACAUAGAAUGGUUUGUGUUGUAUGGUUCUAAAAUCAUCUAAUCCCCCUCUGGCACUGACAGGGACACCUUUCACUUGAUGAGGUUGCUCCAAAGCCCCACUCAACCUGACUUUGAAUGCUUCUAGUGAUGGGGUGUCUACAGCUUCUUUGGGCAGCCUGUGCUGCUACCUCACCACCUUCAUAAUGGAUUUCUUCCUUACAUCUAAUCUAAAUAUACCCUCUUUCAGUUUAAAUCAUUCCCCUUUAUCUGAUCACUGCAGACCCUGAGGAGAAGUCCUUUUCCAUCUUUCUUAUAAGCCUUCUUUAUUUAUCAAAAGGCUGUAAAAAAGAAUUCCCACAGCCUUUUCCAAGCUAAAUUCUCACAGCCUUUCUUCAUAGGAGAGGUGUUGCAUUGAGCCAUGCUCAGUAAAGUUUGAAUACUCUAGGGAAGACUGAAGCCCCUAGCCUCUCCGGGCACCACUUCCAUGCCUGAGCACCCUCAUAGUGACAGACUUUGCCUGUUUCCUAGCUGUGAAUUCUCCAUGCUGCAGUGUGGGCCUGGUACCUCAAGUGGACUCAUAUUGCCCCAGUGCAGCAGCUCAAAGGAUGCCAGUCCCAGCCCUUCCUUCUUCCUCUUGGUGAAGAAGAGAUAACAGGUCUUGGUGAGGGAGGGAGGUGGGGACAAGAAGGAUGGGUUUACAGGAGCCUUGGCUGUCGAUAGUAUUCCCAGGAAAUCAGUCUCACAUUUGAGCCUCCACGGUGAUCCUGGAGUUCAGGCUCCCUGUGUAGGGAGAUUCAGCUCUGGCACUGAGGCAGCCAUGUGGAGGGAGGUGGAUAGAAACCCAUGCCCCUGUGAUGGUUGGGCUGGAGUGUGGGUCUGGAUCUCCUCCCACGCUGCCUGAGAGUGAUAGGCUGAUGAUGUUUCUGCCCUGAUGGAGGUGGAUCCAAUUCCAUCAGCUCUUCUGCUGGCUCUGGAUCCACCUCCAUAGGCCUCUCAUUACUCUCAGGUGGGUCUACUUCCAUUGUCUUGAUAGUAUGGAGCCUCUCCAUUAGCCACCUCUUCUUGGCAGGAGGGCAGUCCAUCCUACCUCCUUGCCAAAAAAGCACUUGGCAAUUGAGCUCUAAGUCGCCACUGGCAAUUCUUGCUCAGUGACUGAAGUUCUGGACACAGGAUCCCCCUAUUUAUAGGGCUCAGAACCAAAGGCUGUGAGAUAACUUAUGACACCGGGAGGCCAUGGUGAUGUCAUUAGAACAAUGUCUCAUGGUGACUAAAACAUGGCACUGUUGGGAGAUGUCGCCUACAGCCUGAGAGUUGCCCCAGUUUUGAAGGAGGAGGAAGAAUGGGGGUGCUGAGGGCCCCUUUCCUGGAGAUGGCUCCCCUGUGCUGUUUUGCUUGCUAAAGAGAAUGUCUUCUCCUUGGGCAUGGGCACCCCCAUGGGCUCCAGCUCCCUCUUCCUCCCAUGUGUGAUGUGCCUUCAAUGAGAGGGUGGGAGAUGAAGAGGGACUCUACAAAUGAGUAAGAGUGAUUAAAUCUUGGAAACCAAGAGCUGAAUACAGAUCAAAGGAGAAAAAUCAGGGAAAGAGAAGUAGGAGAAAAAAGACAUCAACUGUACUCAGGUAUACGACAAAUCAUUGUAGAGAUUGUAUAUAUACUCCUAGUGGAUACAAGAAGAAAUACAGACUUGCUGCAAGAAAACUGAAGACUUGGAGGACUCGAUCAGGAUGUGCCAGAAUUUGCAGCAAUGGUAAAGAAAGUGUUAGUCCAUUCCUCCUUGAGCAUGACACUGAAGACCUUUCAGAUCUACCCUGUGAGUUCUCUAGCACUCCAAGAAGUGAUGUGGAAUCUGCUUUCCCAUAUAAUCUCCGAUCUUAAAUAUGACAUGUAGUCUCUCCCACCCUCCUUCUUCUUCUUAAGCACAGGAUCCAGCAUCUCCUCCUGGUCUCAUGGCAUCCUUGGAUCUUCCCAUUAUGCACCAUGACACUGGCAACUGCUCAGAAAAUUCUGCUGAAGCUACAGAAUUUGGUCUGACUUAUAGUGCUCCAUCUGGCCUCCUCAAAAUUCAAAAAGGAAGAUUAUUUGUAAGGAAUUGAUGUGGUUUUUUAAUCUUUCUUUCCCCUCCCCUCCCCUGCAAUGAGUCCAGGGGGAAAGUGGAAGCCCAGGAAAGAGCUGUGUCUUCUAACUGGGAGGAUAUCCUUAAGGUAAAGGAUCUCCGUUCACGGUUUCACUGAAGUCAGCAUUUACAUAACUUAGUUCUGUUUUCUGUGAUUACAGUACAGCCAUUCCUUUCUAAUUUCCGAAGCCCUCUACCCACUUGACUCAGGAAUAUAUCUACUGUAACUCUUCAAUUUUGUUUUAAGAUUAAACAGGAAAGCUGAACUUUUAAAAUUCACACAGCGCAAUGAAUGAGAAAAGUUGCUUGUCAUUCUUUUUAACGAAGAUUGAGAUGGCUAUAACAUAUAAUCACUAAAUUUAAUGAAGUAAUUACUUUUCAAUUUGAUUUCUAAUUUUCUACCGAAAAAAAUCCCAUUGUUACUAAUGGGAUGGGAAUAAUUAACAGUACCUACCAAUUAAAACUACUCUUCCCAUGCUAUACUGCAUAUUAUGAGAUGUUUUAUAAAUUUGCUGCUUUUUUUCAUAAGGAAAUUGAUUAUGUGUUCAAUAAAAUUGAACCUAUUCAUUCCUUUCUUUUGAUGUUAUCAGCUAGCAGUAUCAGUUUAUACUAUCUUUCCCCUGAUCCAGCACCUCAACUCACAGAAAAAAGCUUCCCCCUGACAUCUAAUCUAAAUCACAGAAUUGUAGGGGCUGGAAGGGACCACUAGAGAUCAUCGAGU